rnacentral:rRNA from 1 species
CCUACGGGUGGCAGCAGUGGGGAAUAUUGGACAAUGGGCGAAAGCCUGAUCCAGCCAUGCCGCGUGUGUGAAGAAGGCCUUCGGGUUGUAAAGCACUUUCAGUGGGGAAGAAAGCCUUGGGGCUAAUACCCUCGAGGAAGGACAUCACCCACAGAAGAAGCACCGGCUAACUCCGUGCCAGCAGCCGCGGUAAUACGGAGGGUGCGAGCGUUAAUCGGAAUUACUGGGCGUAAAGCGCGCGUAGGCGGUCUGAUAAGCCGGUUGUGAAAGCCCCGGGCUCAACCUGGGAACGGCAUCCGGAACUGUCAGGCUAGAGUGCAGGAGAGGAAGGUAGAAUUCCCGGUGUAGCGGUGAAAUGCGUAGAGAUCGGGAGGAAUACCAGUGGCGAAGGCGGCCUUCUGGACUGACACUGACGCUGAGGUGCGAAAGCGUGGGUAGCAAACAGGAUUAGAUACCCGAGUAGC